GGAAUUGCUAGUAAUCACAGGUCAGCAUACUGUGGUGAAUACGUUCCCGGGCCUUGUACACACCGCCCGUCACACCAUGAGAGUUGGGGAUACCCGAAGCCUGUGAGCUAACUUUAUAAGGAGCAGCAGUCGAAGGUAGAAUCAAUGAUUGGGGUGAAGUCGUAACAAGGUACC
rnacentral:rRNA from 1 species